GACGAACCGAGCGAACGUUGUUCGGAAUCACUGGGCGUAAAGGGCGCGUAGGCGGCCGAUCAAGUCGGGGGUGAAAGCCUGUGGCUCAACCACAGAAUUGCCUUCGAUACUGUUUGGCUUGAGACCGGAAGAGGUUAGUGGAACUGCGAGUGUAGAGGUGAAAUUCGUAGAUAUUCGCAAGAACACCAGUGGCGAAGGCGGCUGACUGGUCCGGUUCUGACGCUGAGGCGCGAAAGCGUGGGGAGCAAACAGG
rnacentral:rRNA from 1 species